rnacentral:tRNA from 1 species
GAAAAACAUAGCUCAGUUGGUAGAGUGCUUGCCUCCCAUGCACAAGGCCCUGGGUUCAAUCCCCAGCA